GUUUUUCUCUGAUUUUCCCCAUCUAAUCAAAACUUCCGUAAUUAGGUGGUAAAAACCAAAAUUUUCAUGACACCUGACGGCGGUGUUACAUUAGAUAAUUGGGAAGUUGUACUGAGAGCUGAACCACCAGAUUCACCGGCCCCACGCCUUGCUCAUGUUUUGUCAGGGGAACAUUUAAAUCCAAGUGGAUUCCGAAAGAUGAAUGUACCGAUGGCAUUUCAACUAUUUUGCUCGCAAGUUCAAGCGGCAAUGGCCCUCCAUGUUAAAGAGAGUUUGCCUUCUAGACUGUUCUGCAA